rnacentral:rRNA from 1 species
UACGGGAGGCAGCAGUGGGGAAUCUUCCGCAAUGGGCGAAAGCCUGACGGAGCAACGCCGCGUGAACGAGGAAGGUCUUCGGAUCGUAAAGUUCUGUUGCAGGGGACGAACGGCACUAUAGCCAAUAAGUAUAGUGAAUGACGGUACCCUGUUAGAAAGCCACGGCUAACUACGUGCCAGCAGCCGCGGUAAUACGUAGGCGGCAAGCGUUGUCCGGAAUCAUUGGGCGUAAAGGGAGCGCAGGCGGAACAUUAAGCGGAUCUUAAAAGUGCGGGGCUCAACCCCGUGAUGGGGUCCGAACUGAGGUUCUUGAGUGCAGGAGAGGAAAGCGGAAUUCCCAGUGUAGCGGUGAAAUGCGUAGAUAUUGGGAAGAACACCAGUGGCGAAGGCGGCUUUCUGGACUGUAACUGACGCUGAGGCUCGAAAGCCAGGGUAGCGAACGGGAUUAGAUACCCCGGUAGUCCUGGCCGUAAACGAUGGAUACUAGGUGUAGGGGG